GCCGGCACAAGCUUCCGCAUGCAGGUCAGGGAUCCGGAGCAGCGGAGGCUGAGGGGAGGGGCUGCGUGAAGAGCGGGGCGGCAUCAGGGGGAGGUACUCCUCCUCGCUGCAGCAUCUGUAAUGAUUCCCCAACCUAGCUGUGCUGACGACCCUGCUGAAAUCAGAGCAGUUAACUGAUAAGAUUAAAGUUGUGAUCACUCUUGACCGGAGGAGCUUGUGCGACCGUACAAGAUCUGGAAACUUCUGUUAUGCGGAGUGUGUUAAAGGAGGCCAGCCAGCUCACCUGUGUAACACAGUAUCUCCUGCAACACAACUGGUGGUAGGAGCAAUUGGAUGUAUUCUGUACAGAAAGAGGAAGCAAUCAGCCCUGCAAAAAAUGAUCACAGAGCUCUAUGAGCAGCCUGCAGACAAUCUGCUUAAAGUAAGUAAAAAGUAUAAUCUCCUAACAGUCUAACUGGUUGAUUAAACACCCAAGAUGUUGUUUGUGUUACAUACACAUGCAAAUUCAUAUGUAUAAAUACUUUCAGGUGCAAUUGUCUAGAGGAAAGCAAUUUACAUCUAUGUUAUUCCAGUAUUAUCAUGAAUUCCCAAAUAUAAACCUGGGGAGCAAGAGUACAAAUACAAAAGCAUUUGCUUUAUAGAUGUUCCAGUGAGGGAAGAAUGUACCAGUGGAACUGCAGCAUGUAGAGUGGAUGUUGAAGUAUGUCGAAAUUCGAUGUGUGUUCCAUUAUAAUCAUUUCUUAUUUCAUGUGUAUGGCAAGGCCUAUUCCUGAUUUCAUAGAGACUGGGAAUGUUUACCUUUAAGAAGGGAAAAUUCAAGAGGCAUCCUAUUCAUGUUUAUCCAUACUUGGGUCAGGGCGAUGCACAGGUAAAGAGGACAGAGCCAGGCUGUGACAACAUGACAAGAAAUAGGAAUAGAAAUUGGACAAGAAAUAAUUCCACCUAAAUUCAAGAAAACAUUUUUGCUGGGAGUGGUCAAGCACUGGCAUAAGCUGCCCUGAGAAGGUAUGGAGUGUUCAUCCCUUGAGGUACUCAAAACCCAGCCAGUCACUGCCCUGAGCAACUGACCCCACUUUCCACAGGUGAGUUUGGACUAGGCAAACCCCAGCAGUGCAUUCCCACCUCAACCAUUCAAUUCUCCAUGCCUCUGUUCCAGUCAUCUGUACUGCUGUGCACAUAAUUCUCUAUGAUGUGUCUGUAUAAGUUUUAGCUUUCAUCUGGACUCACCCCUUCCAGCAGAAACAACAAAGGGGAAAGGCUUUCUGCUUCACCACUUAGGAAUCCAGAGGUGGAAAUCACCAUCUAUUUAACUGCUGAAGUAUCUAUCUACCUUUGCUUCUGCCUGAUAUGUCUGGUCUUGAGUCAGACCUAGAGAUACUGCAAAGCAAAUACUAUAUUAGUACUCAUUUAUACUGUACGC
rnacentral:lncRNA from 1 species